AGUGUUCCAUUUCGGAAGUUGUUCACUUUUAUGCCGCGGUGACACAAUAGAAAAAAAUAGUUUCGCGUUCACUUUUGCAAUUUUCUAUAUGCGAUGCUGCGGGGACAAAAUUGUCGAAAUUGAAUUC